CUGGCGGCGUGCCUAACACAUGCAAGUCGAACGAGAAAGUGGAGCAAUCCAUGAGUAAAGUGGCGACCGGGUGAGUAACACGUGACUAACCUACCUCCGAGUGGGGAAUAACUCCGGGAAACCGGGGCUAAUACCGCAUAACAUCGCAAGAUCAAAGCAGCAAUGCGCUUGGAGAGGGGGUCGCGGCUGAUUAGCUAGUUGGCGGGGUAACGGCCCACCAAGGCGAAGAUCGGUAUCCGGCCUGAGAGGGCGCACGGACACACUGGAACUGAAACACGGUCCAGACUCCUACGGGAGGCAGCAGUGGGGAAUUUUGCGCAAUGGGGGAAACCCUGACGCAGCAACGCCGCGUGGAGGAUGAAGCCCUUUGGGGCGUAAACUCCUUUCGACUCGGACGAUGAUGACGGUACGAGUGGAAGAAGCACCGGCUAACUCUGUGCCAGCAGCCGCGGUAAUACAGAGGGUGCGAGCGUNGUUCGGAAUUAUUGGGCGUAAAGGGCGCG
rnacentral:rRNA from 1 species